rnacentral:rRNA from 1 species
UACGUGAAACCGUUCAGGGGUAAACGGAAGAAAUCCUGAACUCGAACGGGUUGGAUUCAUUUUACCCUGGUGUCAGGCCAUCUUGCCCUGCCAGAUGGUGCUGGACGCCCACGGCGAAUCAUUGUGCCUGUGGUGUCGUUCUGGUGCUCACUCGGUGGGGUGGUGUUGCUCUGGCAUCGGAGAAAUGCACUUCCUCCCUUGUAGCAACGUCGCGACUCGUUGGGUGCCGGUCAAAGGCCUGGGAUGGCAGACCAUGUGUGGACCUGUGGUUAAUGGGCAUGUGGACUCCUAGUGACCCGGCCGGCUGCCCGACGGUAUGAUGGAGUCGAUCCGCUGUAUUGGAAACACCUUUGAUGUGAAGCGUCCGGCCUGGCACCAUCACGCGCUGGAAUGGUUUUGUAGACCGGAGGGUGCCGUGCAUAGAACGGCUCCGGGACUAUUGCGUUGUUGGUUAGCUGGUGUCCUCGGACUGGAUCAGUACUCUUGUCUGCGGCGAUAUUUCGGAUGG